CCAGAGGAAGGCCAUGAAGGACCUCGGCCUCACCAGGUUAGGAAGCAUAUUUCCCUUUGAAAGUUUCUCCUACUAUGUGAAAUUCAAGUUCAAUACCAGAGGUUUUUUUUUGUGAAACUUGGAACUGAAAUUCAGAAAUGGGAUUAAUUUUGGAAUUCUGGUGUGUGCAGGGCCCGGCACUUUGGGUGGCCCAACACGUACGUGUUCACCAAGUCCAUGGGGGAGAUGAUGCUGGCCCAGAUGAUGCGCGGGGACGACGUGCCGGUGGUCAUCGUCCGGCCCAGCAUCAUCACCAGCGUGCAAAACGACCCACUGCCAGGAUGGAUCGAAGGCACCAGGUUCGUUCUAACUCUUCCCAUCCAAAUUCAAAUGCCAAGUUUCAAAUUCAUAUUCUGACAUCGAAUAUGAAAACCCCAGGACGAUCGACGCGAUCCUGAUCGGGUACGCAAAACAGAGCCUGUCGUGCUUCCUCGCCGACCUCGACCUAACCAUGGACGUGGUAAUUGCUUCACUCACUGUUAGUUCAUUCAGCAAAUGCAGAGCUACCAGUGCUACCAUCUUCUUGCGAACGUGCUGCAGUAAUGAGUAAUAAGUAUACUAGUACAGUGUGUGACCAUGCUGCAGUAAGUUGCAUCUGAAGCGUCUGUGCCAACAAGGCCAAGUGGCUGCUGCAGUGCAUCAACCAACCUUAGCUGUACUUGGCUGCGUGCAGUUACUAUCUGAAUCUUGCCUGUUACAGCAAGGUUACAUAUGCUGCUAAUGGAUUAUCACAGUUUCUAACCCAAAUGCGCAACUAUGGUGUAUGCAGAUGCCCGGCGAUAUGGUGGUGAACGCGAUGAUGGCGGCCACGGUGGCGCACGCCUCCUCCACUCGGCCAUCAGAGCCAGAGAAGAAGCCGCCUCCGCAGCAGCAGCACCCUCACUCGGUGCCGGCAGCGCCAACGGUGUACCACGUGAGCUCGUCGCUGCGGCACCCAGCUCCGUACGCGGUGUUGUACCGGACAGGGAUCCGGUACUUCGAGGAGCACCCACGGGUGGGGCCUGACGGCCGCACCGUGCGCACCCGCAAGGUGCGGUUCCUUGGCAGCAUCGCGGCGUUCCACCUUUUCAUGGUGCUCAAGUACCGUGUUCCCCUCGAGCUCCUCCGCCUGCUUUCCAUCCUCUGUUGCGGCCUCUUCGGCCUUGCUGCCCUUUACCACGACCUCGCCCGCAAGUACAGGUAUUUUCUCUGUCUGGAAUUAGCUGACGCUCAAACGGAUGUAUCUACAGGGAGUGUAAUUUAAACAUGUUUGCAGUUGUAUGGUCUUGAUAUUAUACCAUUGGCUUAAGAACAUGCAUUGUGCAGGUUCGUGAUGCAGCUGGUGGACCUGUACGGGCCCUUCUCGCUCUUCAAGGGUUGUUUCGAUGAUGUCAACCUCAACAAGCUUAGGCUCGCCAUGGCCGACGGUGACCAUGCCGAUGCCACCGGCUGUCUAUUCAACUUUGACCCCAAGACCGUUGACUGGGACGACUACUUCUUCAAGGUCCACAUCCCUGGUGUCAUGAAGUACGUCCUCAAGUGAUGCACAUUUGCUCCGAUCUGCUUCCACAUACCUACCAAGAAAGAAUGGAGGAAAUCAAAUGAAUGCUAGUCUGUGUCCACCAUGUGUAAUCUCGUUCUUAAGUCUGCGGUAUUAUUGUAUGAGUAUUGAUUGUACUGCCAUUGGAAAUUUAACCAAUGACUAUGAGUAUAAGAUAAAAUUACUUGCAUUCUAGCCGGGGCCUCUGAAAUGACAAGGUUCCUAUGGAAUUAUGUUGGGAAUUUUCUACUUUUCACAGUACUACCAAAAAA
rnacentral:lncRNA from 1 species